CCCCUAGAUGUUCUGGGCCGCACGCGCGCUACACUGACUGGUGCAACAAGUGUCGCUCCUUGGCCGAUAGGCCUGGGCAAUCUUUGAACGCCAGUCGUGAUGGGGAUAGAUUCUUGCAAUUUUUGAUCUUCAACGAGGAAUUCCUAGUAAACGCGAGUCAUCAACUCGCAUUGAUUACGUCCCUGCCCUUUGUACACACCGCCCGUCGCACCUACCGAUUGAAUGGUCCGGUGAACCCUCCGGAUCGGCCCGCGCCAACGCAAGUUGAGCAAAGGCCGAGAAGUUGGGUAAACCUUAUCACUUAGAGGAAGGAGAANUCGUAACA
rnacentral:rRNA from 1 species